AUGCAGUCGAACGAUGAACCACUUCGGUGGGGAUUAGUGGCGAACGGGUGAGUAACACGUGGGCAAUCUGCCCUUCACUCUGGGACAAGCCCUGGAAACGGGGUCUAAUACCGGAUACGACACUCUCGGGCAUCCGAUGAGUGUGGAAAGCUCCGGCGGUGAAGGAUGAGCCCGCGGCCUAUCAGCUUGUUGGUGAGGUAACGGCUCACCAAGGCGACGACGGGUAGCCGGCCUGAGAGGGCGACCGGCCACACUGGGACUGAGACACGGCCCAGACUCCUACGGGAGGCAGCAGUGGGGAAUAUUGCACAAUGGGCGAAAGCCUGAUGCAGCGACGCCGCGUGAGGGAUGACGGCCUUCGGGUUGUAAACCUCUUUCAGCAGGGAAGAAGCGAAAGUGACGGUACCUGCAGAAGAAGCGCCGGCUAACUACGUGCCAGCAGCCGCGGUAAUACGUAGGGCGCGAGCGUUGUCCGGAAUUAUUGGGCGUAAAGAGCUCGUAGGCGGUCUGUCGCGUCGGAUGUGAAAGCCCGGGGCUUAACCCCGGGUCUGCAUUCGAUACGGGCAGACUAGAGUGUGGUAGGGGAGAUCGGAAUUCCUGGUGUAGCGGUGAAAUGCGCAGAUAUCAGGAGGAACACCGGUGGCGAAGGCGGAUCUCUGGGCCAUUACUGACGCUGAGGAGCGAAAGCGUGGGGAGCGAACAGGAUUAGAUACCCUGGUAGUCCACGCCGUAAACGGUGGGAACUAGGUGUUGGCGACAUUCCACGUCGUCGGUGCCGCAGCUAACGCAUUAAGUUCCCCGCCUGGGGAGUACGGCCGCAAGGCUARAACUCAWAGGAAUUGACGGGGGCCCGCACAAGCAGCGGAGCAUGUGGCUUAAUUCGACGCAACGCGAAGAACCUUACCAAGGCUUGACAUACACCGGAAACGGCCAGAGAUGGUCGCCCCCUUGUGGUCGGUGUACAGGUGGUGCAUGGCUGUCGUCAGCUCGUGUCGUGAGAUGUUGGGUUAAGUCCCGCAACGAGCGCAACCCUUGUUCUGUGUUGCCAGCAUGCCCUUCGGGGUGAUGGGGACUCACAGGAGACUGCCGGGGUCAACUCGGAGGAAGGUGGGGACGACGUCAAGUCAUCAUGCCCCUUAUGUCUUGGGCUGCACACGUGCUACAAUGGCAGGUACAAUGAGCUGCGAAGCCGUGAGGCGGAGCGAAUCUCAAAAAGCCUGUCUCAGUUCGGAUUGGGGUCUGCAACUCGACCCCAUGAAGUCGGAGUUGCUAGUAAUCGCAGAUCAGCAUUGCUGCGGUGAAUACGUUCCCGGGCCUUGUACACACCGCCCGUCACGUCACGAAAGUCGGUAACACCCGAAGCCGGUGGCCCAACCCGCAAGGGAGGG
rnacentral:rRNA from 1 species